rnacentral:ncRNA from 2 species
CGAACGUUGUAAUAUUACCUUCAUAUAUCCUUAGGAAUUGGCCUAAGAGUCUCUACCGGGUCACCGUAAACGGCCUGACUAUGAAGGCAGGAACUUUCUAU